UGUUUUCAUAAUCUUAUCUCUAGUUAAAAGUGUCGUCAAAGAACUGCGUGUCUUCAAAAAUUAUUAUUACACAGUUCUGCAAAAACCGGUGAAUUGGUUUUUUUUCGCUUUUUUACCAAAAAAUUAUUUUAUUUUUUUUUGCAAAUAGAAGUAAAUAAAGAAGAAGGAAAAAAGAAAUUUUUGUUAUCAGUAAGAAAUGGAAAUUACAUCUGGGGACUGGAAACAAUUAACCGAAAAAGAAGGAAAGAAAAAAAAUUGACAAAAGAAGAAGAAGAAGAAGAAGGCCAUACGAUAGACAUGAAUGUUUCAUUUGAAUUUUAAAUAAUAAAUAAUAAAUAAUGAAAAAAAUACACUAAUUAAGCCUCAAUGGGUGCUCAUUAUUGACUUUAGAAGGAUGGCAAGUACUUUUCAAGUGUGUUUCAACACAAAAUUAUAAGAAAAUGAAACAACAACUAUAUAGGAAAAUAAUCAUCUCAACUAAAAUUAUUAUGAUGCUGAAGUAAUCUUACACAAACACAAUAAAGGAAGGAAAAAAAUAAAAUUGGAAAAAAAAGGAGAGAAAUUAAAAAAUAGUUGAAAUAAAACACACCCAAAAGUCAGCAGCUGAAUCAUCCCUUUGAAGGAGUUCCUCGAAGGGGAUGCAACAGUU